AUGAACGCUGGCGGCGUGCCUAAUACAUGCCAGUCGAGCGAACAGACGAGGAGCUUGCUCCUCUGACGUUAGCGGCGGACGGGUGAGUAACACGUGGAUAACCUACCUAUAAGACUGGGAUAACUUCGGGAAACCGGAGCUAAUACCGGAUAAUAUAUUGAACCGCAUGGUUCAAUAGUGAAAGACGGUUUUGCUGUCACUUAUAGAUGGAUCCGCGCCGCAUUAGCUAGUUGGUAAGGUAACGGCUUACCAAGGCAACGAUGCGUAGCCGACCUGAGAGGGUGAUCGGCCACACUGGAACUGAGACACGGUCCAGACUCCUACGGGAGGCAGAAGUAGGGAAUCUUCCGCAAUGGGCGAAAGCCUGACGGAGCAACGCCGCGGGAGUGAGGAAGGUCUUGGAUCGUAAAACUCUGUUAUUAGGGAAGAACAAAUGUGUAAGUAACUAUGCACGUCUUGACGGUACCUAAUCAGAAAGCCACGGCUAACUACGUG
rnacentral:rRNA from 1 species